UACGUAGGGUGCAAGCGCUGUCCGGAAUUAUUGGGCGUAAAGAGCUCGUAGGCGGUCUGUCGCGUCUGCUGUGAAAACUCGGGGCUUAACCCCGGGCCUGCAGUGGGUACGGGCAGACUAGAGUGCGGUAGGGGAGACUGGAAUUCCUGGUGUAGCGGUGAAAUGCGCAGGAUAUCAGGAGGAACACCGGUGGCGAAGGCGGGUCUCUGGGCCGUAACUGGACGCUGAGGAGCGAAAGCGUGGGGAGCGAACAGG
rnacentral:rRNA from 1 species